rnacentral:sRNA from 1 species
AUCAAUAAGCAGGAAAAGAAACCAACAGGGAUUGCCCUAGUAACGGCGAGUGAAGCGGCAACAGCUCAAAUUUGAAAUCUGGCGUCUUUGGCGUCCGAGUUGUAAUUUGCAGAGGGCGCUUUGGCAUUGGCAGCGGUCCAAGUUCCUUGGAACAGGACGUCACAGAGGGUGAGAAUCCCGUACGUGGUCGCUAGCCUUUACCGUGUAAAGCCCCUUCGACGAGUCGAGUUGUUUGGGAAUGCAGCUCUAAAUGGGAGGUAAAUUUCUUCUAAAGCUAAAUACUGGCCAGAGACCGAUAGCGCACAAGUAGAGUGAUCGAAAGAUGAAAAGCACUUUGGAAAGAGAGUUAAAAAGCACGUGAAAUUGUUGAAAGGGAAGCGCUUGCAGCCAGACUUGCCUGUAGUUGCUCAUCCGGGUUUUUACCCGGUGCACUCUUCUACGGGCAGGCCAGCAUCAGUUUGGGCGGUUGGAUAAAGGUCUCUGUCACGUACCUCCUCUCGGGGAGAUCUUAUAGGGGAGACGACAUGCAACCAGCCUGGACUGAGGUCCGCGCAUCUGCUAGGAUGCUGGCGUAAUGGCUGUAAGCGGCCCGUCUUGAAACACGGACCAAGGAGUCUAACAUCUAUGCGAGUGUUUGGGUGUCAAGCCCGAGCGCGUAAUGAAAGUGAACGGAGGUGGGAACCUUUCGGGGUGCACCAUCGACCGAUCCUGAUGUCUUCGGAUGGAUUUGAGUAAGAGCAUAGCUGUUGGGACCCGAAAGAUGGUGAACUAUGCUUGAAUAGGGUGAAGCCAGAGGAAACUCUGGUGGAGGCUCGCAGCGGUUCUGACGUGCAAAUCGAUCGUCAAAUUUGGGCAUAGGGGCGAAAGACUAAUCGAACUAUCUAGUAGCUGGG